rnacentral:lncRNA from 1 species
CUCAUAUUUACACAGCGAAAAACUCCUCAGACAAGCGCGCUUCCCAUACGACUCACCAGGACAAAGGGACGAUCCAUGAGGGUAUUUGCUCAGCCUGAGGAAUCCCUGAGGCAAGUCUCACAGAACUGUGCCCAUUCCACAGAUGGAGAAAGCGAAACCCAGAGAGGGACAUGCAGCGUACAGGGACUUGCCAGAGUAGGGUUACCAUAUUUAGCAAAUAAAAUGCAGGAUGCCCAGUUGAAGUUGAAUUUCAGGUAAACGACGAGUAAUGCUUUAGUAUAAGACUAUCCCAAAUAUUGCAAUGAGACACGUAUGCUAAAAAAUUACUCAUUGUUUUUCUGAAUUCAAAUUUAUCUGGAUGUCCUGUAUUUUAUUUGGCGAUCCUACCCCAAGGUCACCUAACUGAGUGGAAAAACAGAAAGCGCUAUUGGGGGGGUCCUACGUGCCUCCCUGCCUGGGGCUCACUAGUGUAUGGAGCUGGCUUGUUCCCAGGUGCUAUUCUGAGGUUAUUUUAAAGGCCCCCAGCUCAUGCCAGUCAAUGGUCUUCCUAGUGCAGGAUCUAGACCUAUUCAGGAGCUGACAAGGAGCCACAUCCCCCACUCCCAUUCAGGGGUACCGCACCACCACCACCCAAACUAGUUUAUUCAAAAGACACUAAGUGUCUACUCUGUGGUAAGCACAGUCUUAGGUUCCAGAUCACACUAGAAAGUAGGAGAAACACUCCCUGUCUUUAUGGAAUCAAUAGGAUUAGAUACGCAGGAAGACAAGUAUUUAGAGAGGAAAACUACAGUACAUUGUGAUCAGUAGUUCUUUAAUAGGGACAAAUACAGGAUGCAUGAAAGCCCGGAGAUGGAACCCCUAAUGAAGGAAUAGAAAGUAAGAGAAAGGAGAGAGACACCCAAGCUGAGGCCUGAAAGAUUCAUUCCUUCAUUCAGUAAUUUCUUGAACAUCUACAUGAAGGACAGUAUUCUAGGCACUGUGGACCCAGCAGUGAACAAAAUAAACAAAUCUUUGCCCUCAGAACUUAAUUCUAAGUGAAAUGUAUAAUAUGUUAGACAGUGAUCUAUGGAGGAAAAAGUAAGGCUCUGAAGGGGAUUAUAGAAUGCUGGGGCAGGAAUGGAAAUGUUACAGUUUUUUUGUUUGUUUGAUUUAGAGAUGGCAUCUCACUAUGUUGCCCAGGCUGGCCUCAAAUUCCUGGGCUCAAGUGAUCCUCCUGCCUCAGCCUCCCAAAGUGCUGGGAUUACAAGAAUGAGCCGUCACUCCCAGCCUGAAGUGGGUAGUCAGGAAGUUCUCACUGAGAACAUUACAUUUGAGCAAAGACCUGAAGGGAUGAGGGAGAGAGAUCUAUGCAGAGAUUUGGGGUUGUAAGUGUGUCUGGCAUGUUACAGGAAAGGAAAGGAAAGGAAAGGAAAGGGCGUGUGAUGAACAAGAUUCCAAUAUGAUAGCUUUCUAAGGGAUUUUCAAUGAUAAUUUUGACCAUAUGAUUCUUGCCUUAAAUAUGGUCUUUAGAGCCUCAUCCCUGUAAAAUAUGACCACAUAAGUUGGUGGGGGCUACUUUGAACAGGAUGUUUGGAAAAGGCCUUCUUGAGAUGGCAACAUUCAAGCCGAGGCCUUUAAGAUGAGAAUGAGCCAAUGCUGGAGUAGCUAAGGGAACAGCAAAGGCGAAGACUUGGAGGCAAGAAAGAAGUCAGUAAAUGUGAGAAACUGAAAUGUGAGAAAAGAGUGGCAUGAGAUGAGGUGGGAGAGGUGGGCAGGGGUCUCAGGCAAUUUAGCUUUUUUUGGCAUCGCAGCGGAAAUCAACUGAAGGGCUUUCAGCAGAGGACUGACAAUCAGAUCAUUUUACUGGUUGAAUUUACACAGGCUUAGCUGUUUACCUAAAGGUGCCAGGAAGAGGGUUUAAAAUGGAGCAAAGGGAUGAGUGGAACCCCUGUCCUCUUGCCUCCCCUUUGUUCCCUUUACAGCUGGAAUGAGAUGGCUUGGGCAGGUGGGUUUCCUAGGUGAGAGAUGACUCCCACCCAGAGAGCCACCAUCUCCCUCUGAGCUGGGGUGAACAGAGUUGACAACUUGCGUCUCUCUGACCUCCUCAAAGUUUCCUGGUUGGAUCCCAUUACUGGGUAUAUACCCAAAGGAUUAUAAAUCAUGCUGCUAUAAAGAUGCAUGCACACGUAUGUUUAUUGUGGCACUGUUCACAAUAGCAAAGACUUGGAACCAACCCAAAUGUCCAUCAAUGAUAGACUGGAUUAAGAAAAUGUGGCACAUAUACACCAUGGAAUACUAUGCAGCCAUAAAAAAGGAUGAGUUCCUGUCCUUUGUAGGGACAUGGAUGAAACUGGAAACCAUCAUUCUGAGCAAACUAUCACAAGAACAAAAAACCAAAUACUGCAUGUUCUCACUCAUAGGUGGGAAUUGAACAAUGAGAGCACUUGGACACAGGUUGGGGAACACCACACACCGAGGCCUGUCGUGGGGUUGGGGGACGGGGGAGGGAUAGCAUUAGAAGAUAUACCUAAUGUAAAUGAUGAGUUAAUGGGUGCAGCACACCAACAUGGCACAUGUAUACAUAUGUAACAAACCUGCACGUUGUGCACAUGUACCCUAGAACUUAAAGUAUAAUAAAAAAAAAAGUUUCCUGACUGGGUCUGCCUUUCAGACUGUGGGCAGAGGUGAAGGAAGUACAUGCCACUACCAGCCCUGAAGGUCUCCUCCCUCCACCCCUUUUGAGUAUACUUUUUUUUCUUUUUUUUAUUUUGAAUACACUUUCAAUUAAUCUUCCCAAAGAUCCUGACGUGCUUCUUCUGCUCCAGAAGCAUAGCGGGCUCCCUACUGCCUACAGAAUUAAGUUCAAACUC